CCAAAACAACCAGGAUGUUGGCUUAGAAGCAGCCAUCAUUUAAAGAAAGCGUAACAGCUCACUGGUCUAAAUAAGGGUCUCCGCGCCGAAAAUGUACCGGGGCUCAAGCCAUACACCGAAACUGCGGGUGUGCACUUUAAGUGCAUGCGGUAGCGGAGCGUUCUGUAAGUCUGCGAAGGGAGACCCGCGAGGGCUCCUGGAGAUAUCAGAAGUGCGAAUGCUGACAUGAGUAACGAUAAAGGGAGUGAGAGACUCCCUCGCCGAAAGUCCAAGGGUUCCUGCUCAACGCUAAUCGGAGCAGGGUUAGUCGGCCCCUAAGGCGAGGCCGAAAGGCGUAGUCGAUGGGAAACAGGUUAAUAUUCCUGUACUUGGUGGUAGUGACGGAUGCCGUGUGUUGUAUCUCCUUAUUGGAUUGGGGGUGCAGCGAAGGUGUUCCAGGAAAUAGCUCCACCGUAUAAACCGUACCCGAAACCGACACAGGUGGACUGGUAGAGUAUACCAAGGCGCUUGAGAGAACUAUGCUGAAGGAACUCGGCAAAUUGCUCCCGUAAGUUCGCGAGAAGGGAGACCUGUACUUGGGCAACCAGGUAUAGGUGGCACAGAAAUGGGGGUGGCGACUGUUUAUCAAAAACACAGGG
rnacentral:rRNA from 14 species